UACAGAGGUCUCAAGCGUUGUUCGGAUUCAUUGGGCGUAAAGGGUGCGUAGGUGGCGCUGUAAGUCGGGUGUGAAAUUUCGGAGCUUAACUCCGAAACUGCAUUCCAUACUGCGGUGCUCGAGGACUGGAGAGGAGACUGGAAUUCAUGGUGUAGCAGUGAAAUGCGUAGAUAUCGUAAGGAAGACCAGUGGCGAAGGCGGGUCUCUGGGCCGAAAUUGACGCUGAGGAGCGAAAGCGUGGGGAGCAAACAGG
rnacentral:rRNA from 1 species